AUCGAUAGCGCAGAUGGAUGGGUUAGUUUGGUUAGGAUAACCUCGCAAUUGUCUAUGUUAAUGUUUGUGUGUUACUAGUUUCGUAAUGUGGACGUGUAUCCGUACAGUUUCUCGUAAUUAUGUUCAUUUAUCUCAUUUUACGACGAGAAAGUUAUAUUUGUUUUAACUAAAUAAUACGAACAGUGAAACAGGAUAAUGUUUAUGGUUGUUGCUUAUUCUUACGAAGACGCUAAGAAAGUGCGAGUGGUGCUUGGAUUCAUUUCUGGGAGCAAAUUUACAACGGCCAGGUACAGGGCUGCUUCUAACUGAAUGUAUUUACAGUUAUUAGCUAUCGCCUUGAGGCGGUAAUAUUCGGUGAGGUGUUCAAGAAAUUGCUCGUCUAUUACGGGACCAAAGGUGCGUUAUUGUGUUAAGAAGAGCCAAUAGAAAAAAAACUUUUUGAUUAUCAUAAUCCAUUGUCGAAAUGUCAUUUUUUUGCUGUUGUUGGCGUAACGCAGCUGGCCGUUGUGUCGUAAAUAGACUCAAAUUUAUGGGCGUUGUAAGUACAGUGCAUCAUCAUAUAGACAUGAUAUAGUGUUGGAUGAUUCUUAAGGGUUCUUCGUAGUGACGGCGGACAGACGCAAAGUGCACGAGAACUGGCGAAUUUUUCCGGACGAUGAAGUUGUAAACUAGUGUUGUGGUUGUCAUUCUGGAUGGUAUUUGGAGUGAUGGAAAACUUGUGGAUAUUUCUGAUUCUAGCAAUUGGUGCUAAAUCCCAGCACGGAAUCCACGGACCAGUGUUUCUGUUAGAACCUCCUCCGGUUCUCCGCUUCUCGAAUGCCACCGGGUCGCAAGUCAGUUGCUCGGCCCACGGUUCCCCGGCCCCCGACGUCACCUGGCUUCAUCAUGACGGCUCUGUCGUCACUGCCGUCCCUGGA